GAACUACUCCCUCUGUUCCAAAUUUCUUGUCUUAGAUUUGUCUAGAUACGGAUGUAUCUAAUACUAAAAUGUGACUUGAUACAUCCGUAUCUAGACAAAUCUAAGACAAGAAUUUUGGGACGGAGGGAGUACUUU
rnacentral:pre_miRNA from 1 species